rnacentral:rRNA from 1 species
CAUCACUACGCUAGAUGCAUAUCAAUAAGCGGAGGAAAAGAAACUAACAAGGAUUCCCUAGUAACGGCGAGUGAAGCGGGAAGAGCUCAAAUUUGAAAUCUUAAAGGGUUUCCCUUUACGAAUUGUAGUUUAAAGAAGUGUUUUCUGUUGGAGUUUCGGUAAAAGUUCUUUGGAAUAGGACAUCAUAGAGGGUGAGAAUCCCGUAUUUGACCGUUACUUUCCAGCUGUGUGAUACACUUUCAAAGAGUCGGAUUGUUUGGGAAUGCAGUCCAAAAUGGGUGGUAAAUUUCAUCUAAAGCUAAAUAUUGGCGAGAGACCGAUAGCGAACAAGUACCGUGAGGGAAAGAUGAAAAGAACUUUGAAAAGAGAGUUAAACAGUACGUGAAAUUGUCAAAAGGGAAGCGUUUGACACCAGUGUUGUUUUUCCGAAAAUCAAUUACGAAUGUUUUAUUUUUGAGAAGUUAUGACUUCAUCGGCUUGCUUCUCUCUUUAUGAAACUUUCUUAAUGCACUUUUCGGUUAACAAGUCAACAUCAAUUUCUUUUGUUGUAAAAGGGUAAGAGGAAGGUGGCUUACGUUUCGGCGUAAGUGUUUAUAGCCUUUUACCUCUGCAAUCGGAGAGAUUGAGGACAGCAGCGUAGACUCCUUCUGGGGUUAGAUACACUUGUGCUAAGCUAUAGCCUUGUAUAGACAACUUGUUGACUAUGCUCAGUCAUGUAGCUUACUCGCUUGUGCUAUUUUACCUACGCUUAGGAUGUUGAAGAUAUGCGCGACACG